rnacentral:lncRNA from 1 species
AGGAGACUCAGCGCUUCUUCUUUACUGCUCCUAUAUUGUCACCUUGAGAUCCCCAUCGUUUUAUUGAAACAUAGGCAGUUGCUUCUUCUUCACAGAAAAACUGCAAUUCCUCUGUGGAUCACCUUUUCCAGAGAGAUCCUUCACUCUGUUUAAACUCCAUGGCAUCUUCACUAGGUUCAUCCAGGAUAGCAUAGCGACCAGCAGUUAUCUCAAAUGACGAAAGCAUCUGAGGAGGUUUUUGUGAUUCACGAGUACCUGAAUAUUUUCAUUUCUUCUUGUGCUUUCCUUGCACCAACUGAAAUUCUUCACUGUUUUUUUCUAAUAUUGGACCCUUUUCAACAUUUAAUGGAGAUUGUAUUUCCUUGGCGUCUUUCCUUAAGAUGUUUUCUGGCUCAGUAAUGUCAUCUUUCUGUGGCUCAUUUGUAUCUUGUUUCUCAGUUGUAUUGUACUCUUCCAUUGCUUCAGUAAGUAUGCUUUCCAAAUCUAGCACACAGUCGUUUAUCUUAUUAUGGUGUGCUUCUGGGCACUCUCUAAAGGUAUGACCUUGUACAGAACAUAAGUUGCAUAUUACGUCCUGCUUGCAUUCUGAUCUCAUAUGGCCCAGACAGUUACAUUGAGAGCACUUUAUUUUAUCACAGCAAUAGGCCAAAUGCCUUAUUGACCCACAUUUAUAACAGCUUCUAGGCUGUCCUGGAUAAUAGCAAAUGCCUCUGUCCGUACCAAUAAAAAAACUGUGUGGUAAAUGAUGAGUAACGCCCCCUGUCUGCCACAGUUUAACUUGCAGUUUCCAUCCACCAUUCCAUAGCCCAAUCUCAUCAUAAAUCUUUUGUGGGUCACUCACCACUGUACAGUGUCUCUUUAUCCAGUACAUUAUGUCAUUUAAAGCCACUACUUCUGUCUGGAACUGGAGAUUGAUGGACACUGUAGCCUGUUUUGUGAGUGGGAUAGCUUUUAUAUUUUUCCAGAUACCAUCUGAUUUUGUCCUAUGGAAAAUCACCCAAAACAUAUCCAGGUUCUGCAUCAGUUUAUGCAGUUAAUGUCAAAUUGUCUUGAUCCAGGAAAGUGAAUAAAUGCAAAUAUUUCACUUGCAGAAAAACCCAUGAAUUCCAUUAAGAGUUUGUGACCAAUUAAUAUUCUGUCUGGAAUGUCAGGUUCUGGUCCUGUGAACAACAGACGCACUGCAUUCUUCCGCUUAGAUACAUCUCCCCUUGAUCUUGCUACAUUUGAAAACAAAUUCCCGCUUGCUGCAGGUUGUUGUACAUUUACCUGUGAGCUGUUCUGUAUGAUGGUUCCUAUUCCCAUUUUAGUACCUGAAUCCGGUCCAUGUUUUUGUCCUACCGCAUUGCUAGAGCCAGUUCCAGAUUGCAGAUGUCUAUCUGGUGAUUCCUCCAGAUUUUGCUUUGCUGUGGAAUCCCUGCUUUGUGUUGAAUCUCUUGCAAUGCUUACGCCAAGAGGUUUUUGCAAAUCACUUUCUUUCUCAAUAAGUCUUUCCACAACACGCUUCAUGCUCCUAGAUCUCAGCUUAUGGACAGUUAUUUCAUUUAAGCAUUCAGGUAUAGCAAUGCUGAGGGCUGCUGGUUUAUCGCACCCAGGUGAACUCUCAGGUUAACAUUCAGCAGCAGCCUCUCCUGUUUGAGCAGGUAAAGUCACUUUGCACAUUUUAUCACUUAAUUUCUAUAUCAUUACCCCUACUUGCUUGUCUUUUAGCAGUUGUGUUGGUACCUUCUUAAUCCUUAAUGGGUUUAACUUUUGCAUUUUAUAACAUUUUCUUUCCUCACCUUUUAUUGCACUUUUCAGUUUUUCAAUGCUUUGCUCUUUUACAUCCAUUGCCGUUUGUAGGGAGUCGAUCUCCACCUGGAUCUGAUCAAUCUGCUGCAGAAAACCUUUUUUUUUCAGAUUCUUGGGUCACUUCAUCCACUUUCUUCACCAAAUCUUGCUUCUGCUUGUACAAAUCAUAAUACAUUGCACAUAAAGUCUGAUAAUUAGCAGAAGCAUCUCCCAGUCUUUUGUCCAAAACCGUCAAAGCUUUACUAAUUAAACUUUCCUUAAAAUGUCUGCUUUCAUUUGUUUGGGCUUCUUGGCCUUCCAACACCUCCAGGCCUGGGACUAGAGCAGAACUUGUAUCCAGAACACCAACACUCCCCCCUGGGUGUGAGGCCAUCCUCAGUCCCCCUACAGGAGCUCCAACAUAUAGGAGUUAUAGGGAGAGGUUAUAUUGAGUAAUAGGAGAAGUUAUAGGGAGAGGUUAUAUGGAGUAAUAGGAGAAGUUAUAGAGAGAGGUUAUAUGGCGUAAUAGGAGGAGUUAUAGAGAGGUUAUAGGGAGUAAUAGGAGUUAUAGAGAGAGGUUAUAUGGAGUAAUAGGAGGAGUUAUAGAGAGGUUAUAUGGAGUAAUAAGAACAGGUAGAGAGAGAAAGGGUUUAUAUGGAGUAAAGAAUAGAGAAUAUAGAGAGUUUAAAAUGAGGUAUAGGGAGAGAUUAUAUUGUGUAAUAGGUGGAGUUAUAGAGAGAGGUUAUAUGGAGUAAUAGGUGGAGUUAUAGAGAGAGGUUAUAUGGAGUAAUAGGAGGAGUUAUAGAGAGGUUAUAUG